rnacentral:tRNA from 1 species
GCCGGGGUGGCGGAAUGGUAGACGCAAAGGACUUAAAAUCCUUCGAGCUAACGCUCGUGCCGGUUCGAGUCCGGCUCUCGGCACCA